CCCUUUCUGGUAGCUGUUUAUCUCUCAGAGACACCGAAUAACUGGCUCAGAGCAGGGAUUUGAAGUGGCCACUGCCAAGCCUGCGUUCCUUCCUCCACGAGGGCUUCAAACUCACGGCUGCGGGGGCCAAGCAAGCAAAACAGUGGCUGGAGCAGCUCGGGGACGGGUUGAGGGUCUGCAUGAGCAAAGCCAACUCGGGGGGACCCUCGCCGUAGUCAGAGGGAGCCCCAGGAGCAGAGAGGGCAGCACCGCCACGUAGGGAUGCCCAAUCUUCUCACACCCUAGAGCUCCUCAAAAGAAGCCAGAAAUCUGAAAUUGGAAUGCAGUUCCCCACAUUUAAAACAUCACCACUUAAAACGCUCUGCUGGCCAAGCCAGACCCUUUUGUGGGUCAGGCCCUAGCCGUGAGCUGCACUUUCCCAGGUGGCCGGUGGGGGUAGGUCCAGCUGUGCGCAGCAGGAACCCGCCAAGGGGGGCCUAAGCCAGCGAAGCUGGCUUUGUCACUCAACGCGAGGUGUCAGGUGGCCGUGCAGGUCUGAGGUGUCAGGAGAUGGUGCAGGGCUGAUGUGGCGGUUCGCAGGGCUGGGUCAGAAGCCCAGGCUUGGCUCAUCUCCACUCUCCUGGGUCCGUGGCGCUCACCCUUAUGCUCACAGGACGGAGGCAGCGCCGCCAGGCAUCGCUUCCGGGAAAAGCAUCGCUUCCGGGAAAGGCAUCGCUUCCGGGAAAGGCACCGCUUCCGGGAAAGGCACAAGGUGCUGGGUCUGUGCCUUUAGGGGAGCAGAAUCCUCCUGGAAGCUCCACCCAGUACGUUGCAGCUUAUAUCCCACUGGCUAGAAUUGGUCUCCUGACCACCCCCUAGUUGCAAGGGAGUCUGGGAAAGGGAGAAUUUUAAACUGAACGCCGCACUAACCGGGACAUAAUUUGCAUUUUUAUUCGUAACUUACAGAGGGAGAAUGACUAUUGUGUAACAACGUCUUUCUCUUCUCGCUGUGCUGGUUUUCUGGGUGACAUUGACUGAUUGGCCCCUGCUGGUAGCAGCCAAGGAGGAGCUGCAGCCCUUUUGGAUGAUUUCCCAAAUAUGGCGAGACAGGGAAAGCGCUCUGCUCCCCGCUCCGACCUCCACCCCCAGCUUGAGGCAUUUUGCUUCCCUGCCACUUGACUGGAAGGAUGUGUGAACUACAAGGGCCAUGGUGAGUGUCUUUCCCUUCUCUCGGCCAGCGGGAGGAGCUACAGAAGAUGUUACUUCGCACACAUCAAAGCUGCACACUCAUUUGGUUGUGGAAAAGAGAACAAUGGAACACACCAAGCUGUAGGACAAUCAAUUAACUUCUACUCUUUGCAGAGAGGUUUGAAAGAAAGAACAAAAAAUUAGCAGGCUUGGGAAAGCCUUCCUCGCUUCCCAAACUGGAAUCCCUGUCUCCACCGUAAUUAUGCUGGGCAUGUCGAAGGAGGAGGAAGCAUGGUGGGGGGCGGGGGGGCGUUAAAGCCCCACGUGGCCCACAGGCAGAGGCUGUUCGCGCCCGGCACUGGUGAGAGCUCUAGUUCAGGUCUUCCGUCUUUCUGUUUGGAAGUUUACUGUUACGUUGUUGCCAUUGUUUCUGGCGGGGUGGCGCUCUCUCUCUCUUUCUUUGUUUUCAGUUUCUUUAUUUAUUUUUGAGAGAGGGAGGGAGAGAGUGAGCAGGGCAGAGAGAGAGGCGGACAGAAAAUCCCAAGCAGGCUCUGCGCUGUCAGUGCAGGGCCCGACAUGGGGCUCGAACUCAUGAGCUGUGAGAUCAUGACCUGAGCCAAAAUCGAAAGUCGGAUGCUCAAGCGACGGAGCCACCCAGGAGCCCCUCAGGGUGGUGCUCUUUUUGAGGCAGUUCACACGGUAGACCGUUGGACCUGAAUUUGAACCGAGGCUUUGGCACUUACAGCCAAGUGAUGUCCAAGGCCUGGUUCUCCAGAAGGAGACCUCCAGAUGAGACUUUACGUGCAAGUGUUUCGUUGGGAAAUGCUCCCAGGAAGAGCCAGGAGGGGAGGGAAGCGGGAGCAGGCAGGGGUGACAUGGGAGGCAGCAAACGACAGCCCACGGAGGAGGGCUCCCGCCUGGCUGGUUCUGGGAGCUCUGGGAUCAGUGUAGGUCAUCCCUCAGGGUUCUCCAUCGGAGGCAACGCAGCAGAACAUUUAUACUCCUGCACCCAGCAGCCCCAGCUUCAGCGUCCCCCCAGAAGACCUCAAUUCCCAGGCACCAAAGGCAUUCCUGCAGGGGGACAAAGUGGACUCUGGCAGUCUGAGGGCAAGGGUCCCCCACAGUGACACGGGGACUGGCCAUUGCCGUGGAGGCACGUGGGAGUUGUUGUUUGCCUAGCGGGCAGGCACGGACCUCAAGGAAUCCACUUAGGUCCACGGGACCCACCUGGAAAGGAAAUGGGGCUACUGCUGUGUGUUCUUCACAGGGUUGGCAUAAGAUGACACGAGAUGGCACAUACCUGAAAAGCACAUAGGCUGUUGCUCGGAUGCGGGAAACACUCGGUGAAAAAGAGUAGGAUGAUGCUGAACAGUGGCACAGACUUAAAUUCUAGGCCCGUGGCCUAGGGAGUAUCCCUCCCUCCCUUGAGUCAGCAGCUUGCCUCCGUACCCUCGCCCCGGCCGGGCUCCUGCCUGGCAGCCGUUAUCAACCUACCCGAGCUGGGUGGGAGAGGCAGCCAUCUGCGGGCUCUGAAGUGGACGGGACCAAGGACAUGGGUAUAAAGAGCAGAACGAAGCCUCGUUGCUUCUGCCUCACUUGGCCCCUCGGAGUGCGAAAGCAGCUCGAGGCCGCCACCUGCUACCCGUCCCCCACCAGCCUCCUUCCGUGACACUUCAUCAGUCCAGGCGUCUGUCUGCCCGCCAACAGCAACCGGCUCACACCCCAGCCAUUCUCCUUUCUUCUCCUCUCCAUCCUCAACACAAGCAUUGAGAUUCUGCACCGUCUCAACCCUGAAAGAUAGUUUUACAACGAACCAAAGCUCGUGUGGGCAGAGAGCCUGUCUCAGUAAGCACUGCGAGGAACAUAAUGAUGACAAGGAUAUGGUCCCUGCCCACCCGGAAGCCAGGUUUGCUGACCGAAGACCUCACUCCCGUGCCACGGAGGCCAGUCAACAAGUGACGCUCGUGGGACUCUCUGGGCCUAUCGCGUUCCUGGUUGUUCACAAGAAUCCUGCCUUUCAGCGGCAACUGGAUGAGCAGGGCCUGUGCUGCUGUGUGCCAUUGUAUGACAUUAUGAAAUUUGCUGUGGACUGAGGGACAAUGUAAGGUGCUGUCCUUGAGACAGAUCUGCUUCACCCCUUUCCAAAUGGGAAGUGUUUUUGAACUUGCUCUGUUUGUAUUUCAUUACUGUGUGUAAGGCAUAUUAGCGAAAGGGAAAUCUACUGCCGGAGUCCUUAGGUUAUACAACCGUGGGGAGGUAACACUGGGCUUGACUGUUUGGGGGCCCAGAAAGUGAAGAUAUUACUGGAAAUGCUGGACUCUGAGAACAGUGGGGAGCGGUAUCACCCCCAGCUGUACUCGGUUGGCCGUGACUUUGGGUGUCCCUCAUUGGCAAGUGGCAAGGAUGUACGUGUUUGUGCAUUUGUGCCUUUAGAUCAUGGUAAAUGGAAGAUCCUUUAGAAGUGUUGCAUCGGAAAAUGGGCUGUGAAACUGGCAGGCAAAGGGGUGGACCGCCGUGGGCAGGUUUCCUGCUCUGGACUGCCUUGGCCAGUUCUAAAGAAACCAUCCGCCCACGGAACAAAAUGAAUCAAUCAGCUCUUACCUCUCAGGAAUUGGAGCCAAGAGACACAGACUUUGUCACUGGCGGCUGGCAUGUAGUCAGGCUGGUGUGGCCCCAUUAUAGGGCCAGGGCAAGGUGAACCAGCCCGGCAGGAAGGAGGAGGGGAUGAGAGGGCCAGCUGGCUCUUCAGCACCUGUUCCUCCCUGGCCCUGGUGCUUCCACUGUUGUUUUCCCCUGGCGGUUCCUUCCCGCCCAUAAACUUCCCCUCCCUGCCCUGGGAGAGGGCUUCUGCUGGUGACCCCUGACUUUGGCUCUAGGGCAAACCCCUGGGCAGCCUGAUCUUCCCAGCUUCGUCCACCUGGUCCACCAAAGGCAUUUCCAGAAACACUCCAAGCUCCUGGCCACAAGGUGCAUUCAUCCUGGCCUUCCCUGUUGUGAGUGUCCAGGGUCUGGCUCAUAGCAGGAGCUACCUCGCCGAUGAACAAAGCAGGUGACUCUCUCAAGACACAGCAUUCUUCCUGUAAAUCAGCUGUCACCUGACCGAGGCCCAGAACAGUCAGUGCCUGAGUCAUCCCAGCAAUCUUAUAUUAAAACAGUGAACCACAGAGGUGCGGAGGAAUCCAAUCCACAAUUUGCUGUGAACUCUGGCGUCUGUUGUGUGUGUGAGGACAUACGCCGUCUUCUAAAGCUUGUAGAGCCCCUAUUGUCCCUAAGUUCAAACACACAACUUUAGGAUUAGCGUAUGUAACAAGAUGAGCCCACUUGGGUGUGGAGAAAGUGGCUUAGUGACCACUAGAACCAGAAUCACCCAGUGAGAUGUGAGGACCCAUAGGCUCAGACGACCUGGGAGCUUGAUAGAAAAGCACGCCCUCGGGUUCCCCCAGACCUACGGGGUCAGAAUACACAGUUUAACGUCUACAUCCCUCUCCCUGCCCUGCGUUAUUUGGAAACAUAUUCAGCUUCAUCAACAGAAGAUUUCUAUAGUUCCAGAUACUUUUUUGGAUUGAAAGUUGGACUUGGUAAGCUUAUGUGUUAAUGAUAGAAGGCGCCAUAUGGCAGUUCAGAAUGUGGGCCUGACUGAUCUCACUGCCUUAGCCAGACGGUCUCCUAACCUCCCAAGACUCAAUUUCCUCAUCUGCAAAAUGAGAAUAAUAACAGCAAUUAACUUGAGAAACCUGCUGUGGACAUUAAUUGAGCCUAUGCACGUGGAAAGCUUGGGGCCAGGUCCUUACUACAUGCGAGUUACUGUUAUUUUACUUCAGAAAAAGAACAACCGUUCAUUGGGUGUUUACUGUGCGUUAAAUCCUGGGCUAGGCCCUUCAAACCACACUGGGAGAUAUUAUCAUCCUACCAAAGGGGAGACAGAAGGUCAGAGGGGGUCAGGAUCUGGGUUGAGAUCUCGGCUCCCCACGGCCGACAGAGCUUUUACUCAGCCACAUUACCUCCUGAGAGCUGGGGCAGGAUUUUGAGAUGCCAAGCAAGGAGGGAACACAAUUUCUGUGGGUUGUAAUAUUCGCAUAAUGUCACACAAAAUAACCCAAGAACUGCUUGUGCAAUGUGCCUUGGUUCUGAAUUGCCUUUGCCAGUGUGUAUCUUCCUAAUUGCUUUAUAUUUAAUCCACCCAUGUGAAGUGCCUUGAGCAGUACAGUGCCUGGCACUUUGUAAGCAUUCAAUGGCAUGCAAUAAAUAUUGGCCAUUA